rnacentral:rRNA from 1 species
UGGGGAAUCUUGGACAAUGGGCGAAAGCCUGAUCCAGCGACGCCGCGUGGGUGACGAAGGCCUUCGGGUUGUAAAGCCCUUUUCCCGGGGACGAUGAUGACGGUACCCGGGGAACAAGCACCGGCCAACUCCGUGCCAGCAGCCGCGGUAAGACGGGGGGUGCUAGCGUUGUUCGGAAUCACUGGGCGUAAAGGGCGCGCAGGCGGCCGCGCAAGUCGGAUGUGAAAG